GAUUACUGAAGGGUUAUAUUUGUACAUUUAUAAAAUAAUAUAAAUGAUCAGGGGAUAAAACAACAUGAUAAAACAACAUAUAGCUGUGGAUUCAUUGUUCUAAAAUGUUCUUAAUAAGAAAUAAAUUGUUUAAAAAUAAUAAUGUGAAAUAUUCACAUGUUAUUGGUUUAGCCAAUCAGUGAUGUGUGGGAGGGAUUUGCGCUUGCUGACGCAGUGGGAAGAGAUCGCCAGACUGUGGAGGAAGAGAGAGGGUGAGAUCGCUAGAUUUGAUGAUUUAAACUGUGAAAUCAGAUUAUAACUUUGAAAUUAGUUCGAGAAACUUACAAAAAGCUUUCAUAGAGAAGUAUUUGAAGAGGAUUCAGUCAUUAAAUUGUUCCUGUGACGAUCGAUGGGAAAAUUGCAUCAUUGUGUUGUUGAGGAGUGAAUAUAUGGACAUGGUCAGGUUUUUUUUCUUUGGUGUUUUUGAUUGAAGACUGAUUCACAUUGAUGGCGAGCCAACCUAUUCGGACACUAGAAAAGGAAACUGGAAAUCCACCCUACUGAACCAGGAGAGUACUUUAAUACUUAUUAUUUUUUUCAGCUCAAGGUAAAAGACAGUUUUUUUUCCGUUUCUGGAUAGAGACUGUUCGUGGUUUUUUUUUCUGAGAACUGAUUAAAAAAAGGAAACAAAAAAAAAAAAACUAAUACCAGCGCACGGACACUUGGAAAUCAAACUAUUUUCCUUUUGAAGUGAAAUGAGAAAUACUGAGUUUGUUGAUUCUGAACAAGUGGUUUUCUUUACAUUUUCAAUGUAAUUUCAAUUGAACUUUAUUUUGUUUUAUUGUGUUUUGAUUGUUUAUCGUAUUUUGUUAAUUUUAUUUUGGGGAAAGAUCUGCAGAAAAUUAUAUCUAUAAACAUUUCAAAUACUUACCUA